rnacentral:rRNA from 1 species
GACGAACGCUGGCGGCGUGCUUAACACAUGCAAGUCGAACGGAAAGGCCCUGCUUUUGUGGGGAGCUCGAGUGGCGAACGGGUGAGUAACACGUGAGUAACCUGCCCUUGACUUUGGGAUAACUUCAGGAAACUGGGGCUAAUACCGGAUAGGAGCUCCUGCUGCAUGGUGGGGGUUGGAAAGUUUCGGCGGUUGGGGAUGGACUCGCGGCUUAUCAGCUUGUUGGUGGGGUAGUGGCUUACCAAGGCUUUGACGGGUAGCCGGCCUGAGAGGGUGACCGGCCACAUUGGGAAUGAGAUACGGCCCAGACUCCUACGGGAGGCAGCAGUGGGGAAUAGUGCACCAUGGGCGGAAGCCUGAUGCAGCAACGCCGCGUGCGGGAUGACGGCCUUCGGGUUGUAAACCGCUUCCGCCUGUGACGAAGCGUGAGUGACGGUAAUGGGUAAAGAAGCACCGGCUAACUACGUG